GAUAUGAUCUUGAAACCUAAAGAAUUUGGCGGUACCCUAUUCCUUUCAGAGGAGUCUGCCCCGUGAUCGAUGAUCCGCGCUGGACCUUACUUAGAAUUUGUUUGUAUACCGCCGUUGUAAUGAAGAUCUUUUUAGUGUUUUAAUUUUCUGGUUCCGUUAAUUUGGUUGAUUUCAGGUCAAGGUGCAAUUUAUUUUUGAGUGUGAGGUGGACUACAUUGAUUAUUUGAUCUUUGGAUUACUAAUUGUAAUUUUAUUAGUAUGAAAUUGGAUUUGGUUGUAAUUUAUUGUAGAUUGUUUUUAUGAUGCUGGUUCUGGGGUAUGUACACAUCGCCCGUCGCU
rnacentral:rRNA from 1 species